GUGGGGAAUAUUGGACAAUGGGCGCAAGCCUGAUCCAGCCAUGCCGCGUGAGUGAUGAAGGCCUUAGGGUUGUAAAGCUCUUUCGCUCGCGACGAUAAUGACGGUAGCGAGAGAAGAAGCCCCGGCUAACUUCGUGCCAGCAGCCGCGGUAAUACGAAGGGGGCAAGCGUUGUUCGGAAUCACUGGGCGUAAAGGGCGCGUAGGCGGACAUUUAAGUCAGGGGUGAAAGCCCGAGGCUCAACCUCGGAACUGCCUUUGAUACUGGAUGUCUUGAGACCGGAAGAGGUAAGUGGAACUGCGAGUGUAGAGGUGAAAUUCGUAGAUAUUCGCAAGAACACCAGUGGCGAAGGCGGCUUACUGGUCCGGAUCUGACGCUGAGGCGCGAAAGCGUGGGGAGCAAACAGGAUUAGAAACCCUAGUAGUCC
rnacentral:rRNA from 1 species